GGUGGCUCAGUGGUAAAGCACUUGCCUUGCAUGCAUGAGGCCUUGGGUUCGAUUCCUCAGCACCA
rnacentral:tRNA from 1 species